UACGUAGGGUGCAAGCGUUAAUCGGAAUUACUGGGCGUAAAGCGUGCGCAGGCGGUUUUGUAAGUCUGACGUGAAAUCCCCGGGCUCAACCUGGGAAUUGCGUUUGGAGACUGCAAGGCUAGAAUCUGGCAGAGGGGGGGUAGAAUUCCACGUGUAGCAGUGAAAUGCGUAGAGAUGUGGAGGAACACCGAUGGCGAAGGCAGCCCCCUGGGUCAAGA
rnacentral:rRNA from 1 species